CGCUGGAAAGUCGGUCUUCAUGACCGCGCCGACGGAGCAAGGCCGCCUCGACAUCCGGUUGUUCGGAUGGGGGGCGCCGGAAUCUCUCAGGCUUCAGGACAGCG
rnacentral:ncRNA from 2 species